AGCAGGCGCGAAACCUUCACAAUGUGCGAGAGCACGAUGAGGGGAUCCCAAGUGCUGGUUCGUAAGAGUCAGCUGUUUCUUUGUNNAAAAAACAGAGAGAGUAAGGGCUGGGUAAGACGGGUGCCAGCCGCCGCGGUAAUACCUGCAGCUCAAGUGGUAGCCGCUAUUAUUGGGCCUAAAACGUUCGUAGCCGGUUUAGUAAAUGCUUGGGUAAAUUGUGUCGCUUAACGAUACGAAUUCCGGGUAGACUGCUAAACUUGGGACCGGGAGAGGUUAGAGGUACUCCUGGGGUAGAGGUGAAAUUCUGUAAUCCUGGGGGGACCACCAGUGGCGAAGGCGUCUAACCAGAACGGGUCUGACGGUGAGGGACGAAACCCUGGGGCGCAAACCGGAUUAGAUACCCGGGUAGUCCAGNNNNUAAACGCUGCUCGCUUGAUGUUAGUUGGGCUCCGAGCCCACCUAGUGUCGGAG
rnacentral:rRNA from 1 species